AUUGAACGCUGGCGGCAUGCUUUACACAUGCAAGUCGAACGGUAACAGGGAGCUUGCUCCGCUGACGAGUGGCGAACGGGUGAGUAAUGCGUCGGAACGUGCCGAGUAGUGGGGGAUAACGCAUCGAAAGGUGUGCUAAUACCGCAUACGAACUGAGGUUGAAAGUGGGGGACCUUCGGGCCUCACGCUAUUCGAGCGGCCGACGUCUGAUUAGCUAGUUGGUGAGGUAAAGGCUCACCAAGGCGACGAUCAGUAGCGGGUCUGAGAGGAUGGUCCGCAACACUGGGACUGAGACACGGCCUAGACUCCUACGGGAGGCAGCAGUGGGGAAUUUUGGACAAUGGGCGCAAGCCUGAUCCAGCCAUGCCGCGUGUCUGAAGAAGGCCUUCGGGUUGUAAAGGACUUUUGUCCGGGAGCAAAUGCUGGUGGCUAACAUCCACCGGAGCUGAGAGUACCGGAAGAAUAAGCACCGGCUAACUACGUGCCAGCCGCCGCGGUAACAC
rnacentral:rRNA from 1 species